UUGUUCUACUCCUUUCCCGAUAAUGUUGGCAAAAGAUAAAACUUGCAGAUCUAGGUUAUGCUGCUGAACUAAUACAUCCUGCUGAACAUCCAGUUUCGAAGCCUGGAGUGGUGUCACAAAGCUCCAUUUCAGCACUGUGUCCUGUGCUUUUUCCAUGUAUCCAGUUUGGUUCAGUGUCUGCUCUUUUUUGCUUGACAGCUUUUGAUGAACGGAAGCUGUUCUCGUGCUUGAAAAAUGUAAUGGUCAGCAUAGCAAUGGCUUAAAAUAGCAUUUUGGAUGCUAUAGCACUGGCUUUAGAGCCCCAUUAGCAGACAUCCAGGAGGCCUGUAAAAGAAGAAAAAUACUUCAAAUGUUAAACAAAUCUUCAAAAGGAUGCUGCAGGUACCAGGAGGAGGGAUGGCCUUUAGCAGCCUCCUUCUCUGCUCCUCUGAGUCAUCCUUGGUAGUUACAUCCUGCCUCAGGGGGUGAAAGGUGCA